rnacentral:rRNA from 1 species
GCUGCUUUGCUGACGAGUGGCGGACGGGUGAGUAAUGUCUGGGAAACUGCCUGAUGGAGGGGGAUAACUACUGGAAACGGUGGCUAAUACCGCAUAACGUCGCAAGACCAAAGAGGGGGACCUUCGGGCCUCUUGCCAUCAGAUGUGCCCAGAUGGGAUUAGCUUGUUGGUGAGGUAACGGCUCACCAAGGCGACGAUCCCUAGCUGGUCUGAGAGGAUGACCAGCCACACUGGAACUGAGACACGGUCCAGACUCCUACGGGAGGCAGCAGUGGGGAAUAUUGCACAAUGGGCGCAAGCCUGAUGCAGCCAUGCCGCGUGUAUGAAGAAGGCCUUCGGGUUGUAAAGUACUUUCAGCGGGGAGGAAGGUGUUGUGGUUAAUAACCGCAGCAAUUGACGUUACCCGCAGAAGAAGCACCGGCUAACUCCGUGCCAGCAGCCGCGGUAAUACGGAGGGUGCAAGCGUUAAUCGGAAUUACUGGGCGUAAAGCGCACGCAGGCGGUCUGUCAAGUCGGAUGUGAAAUCCCCGGGCUCAACCUGGGAACUGCAUUCGAAACUGGCAGGCUUGAGUCUUGUAGAGGGGGGUAGAAUUCCAGGUGUAGCGGUGAAAUGCGUAGAGAUCUGGAGGAAUACCGGUGGCGAAGGCGGCCCCCUGGACAAAGACUGACGCUCAGGUGCGAAAGCGUGGGGAGCAAACAGGAUUAGAUACCCUGGUAGUCCACGCCGUAAACGAUGUCUACUUGGAGGUUGUGCCCUUGAGGCGUGGCUUCCGGAGCUAACGCGUUAAGUAGACCGCCUGGGGAGUACGGCCGCAAGGUUAAAACUCAAAUGAAUUGACGGGGGCCCGCACAAGCGGUGGAGCAUGUGGUUUAAUUCGAUGCAACGCGAAGAACCUUACCUGGUCUUGACAUCCACAGAACAUUCCAGAGAUGGAUUGGUGCCUUCGGGAACUGUGAGACAGGUGCUGCAUGGCUGUCGUCAGCUCGUGUUGUGAAAUGUUGGGUUAAGUCCCGCAACGAGCGCAACCCUUAUCCUUUGUUGCCAGCGGUCCGGCCGGGAACUCAAAGGAGACUGCCAGUGAUAAACUGGAGGAAGGUGGGGAUGACGUCAAGUCAUCAUGGCCCUUACGACCAGGGCUACACACGUGCUACAAUGGCGCAUACAAAGAGAAGCGACCUCGCGAGAGCAAGCGGACCUCAUAAAGUGCGUCGUAGUCCGGAUUGGAGUCUGCAACUCGACUCCAUGAAGUCGGAAUCGCUAGUAAUCGUGGAUCAGAAUGCCACGGUGAAUACGUUCCCGGGCCUUGUACACACCGCCCGUCACACCAUGGGAGUGGGUUGCAAAAGAAGUAGGUAGCUUAACCUUCGGGAGGGCGCUUACCACUUUGUGAUUCAUGACUGGGGUGAAGUCGUAACAAGGUAACCGUAGGGGAACCUGC